GGGAAUAUUGGACAAUGGGGGCAACCCUGAUCCAGCAAUACCGCGUGAGUGAAGAAGGCCUUCGGGUCGUAAAGCUCUUUUACCGGGGAAGAUAAUGACGGUACCGGGGAAUAAGCUCCGGCUAACUUCGUGCCAGCAGCCGCGGUAAUACGAAGGGAGCUAGCGUUGUUCGGAAUUACUGGGCGUAAAGGGCGCGUAGGCGGUUUUGUAAGUCAGAUGUGAAAGCCCCGGGCUUAACCUGGGAACUGCAUUUGAGACUGCAAGACUAGCGAUCGAGAGAGGAAAGUGGAAUUACGAGUGUAGAAGUGAAAUUCGUAGAUAUUCGUAGGAACACCGGUGGCGAAGGCGACUUUCUGGCUCGACCCUGACGCUAAAGCGCGAAAGCGUGGGGAGCAAACA
rnacentral:rRNA from 1 species